rnacentral:rRNA from 1 species
AUACGUAUGGUGCAAACGUUGUUCGGAAUCACUGGGCAUAAAGAGCACGUAGGCGGGGGGGUAAGUCUGAUGUGAAAUCCCUCGGCCCAACCGAGGAACUGCAUCGGAUACUGCCCGACUCGAGUGCAGUAGAGGAGAGCGGAAUUCCGGGAGUAGCGGUGAUAUGUGUAGAUACCCGGAGGAACACCCGUGGCGAAAGCGGCUCUCUGGGCUGUACCUGACGCUAAGGCACGAAAGCGUGGGGAGCAAACCGGAUUAGAUACCCGAGUAGUCC